UACGAAGGGGGCUAGCGUUGUUCGGAUUUACUGGGCGUAAAGCGCACGUAGGCGGAUCGUUAAGUCGGGGGUGAAAUCCUGGAGCUCAACUCCAGAACUGCCUUCGAUACUGGCGAUCUCGAGUCCGGAAGAGGUGAGUGGAACUCCUAGUGUAGAGGUGGAAUUCGUAGAUAUUAGGAAGAACACCGGUGGCGAAGGCGGCAUCCUGGACCAACACUGACGCUGAUGAGCGAAAGCCAGGGGAGCAAACGGG
rnacentral:rRNA from 1 species